GAAGGGUUGGUGGGUGGAUAGGAUGGGUCAGUGAGUGUAGUGUAAUGGCCUGGUGUAUGUACACGGUCAGACUGGAUAGUUUAAUUAUCUCUUCUGGCUUUAAACAUGAGGAAUAUCUGGAGAAGGAAAGUCUUCAAAAGGAAUAAGGAAGAAAACAAUGUAACAGGCUGGGAUGUCUUUAAUACUGCCAUGGUCCCUCUCCCCUGACCCAUCGAGCAAGCAGGGGUAUGGUCACAAACUGAAUGGUCCUAUCAGUCCAUUCAGAAGGACAGCAGGAAGGAGGAACAUUCUGCCAAUAAUAUUCAAGCCGAAGCUGAUGUCUUUAUUCUCCUCUAGAAGAGUUGUGUUUGCCUCUGCCUGUACCACUGUAUGUUUCCACUAGGGCUGUCUCACUGAUUUAACGUGACACCCUGAGCACCCCUCAGACGUCUUUGAGAUUCCAGCCAGCAUUGGAAGCAACAGCCCCAAUAACGCAGCACAUCCUAUCCAUUUUACGCAUGGUCCGAAGCGUGUGGUCUGGGACAGGCUUGUGGCUCUGGUUCUUCAGCUGAAAGAUGGGGAUAUUACUAACCUCUCCUGUUUCGGAUGCUGAGAAGAUUCUGAGAGCUUGCCCUUUCCUGAUGCCACAGAAAGUAUCCUUAAAGACAUUGCAUGCGCCAUACAAGUGGGAAGUUUGGGUUUGGUGGUGGCUUCAGAACUUAAUGAUUUUCAUCAGUGAUGAGAACCAAACCAAGAAAAUCAGCCCAACAGCUGGUCAAAAGGAAGUGCACACCUUGUCUGCUACUGACCGACCUCCUCUGUAAAUUGGCUGAGAGUGUGUGAUUUGCCCUGGAGCAGCUUUUUGAAGUAAUUGCUGUACAUCAGUCAAUAGAUCUGCAUUAGCAGCACCUUAAAAACUGCAAUAGUUUGGCAAAUGUUGCACUCGAUUAUAUGUUAUCUCUUUUAAGUGCCAUUGGUUUAAAACGUGAGAAAAUUAUCUGUUUUUGAAAACAGAUUGGUAGUGCUUUGAUUGUGCAGCUUUUGAUUUAGAGGGCUUUAUGUAUUCAUUCAGCAGACGUUUCCUCUGUACCUGCAAGAUCCUGCUUAUUGAAAAAGUGCUUUCAAGAUGUUGCUCCAUAGACUGCUCACGUUGAAAAGAAGAUUAUAGGAGGAUCCUUUUGACUUGUGUAUGUAUGUCACUGUUGAGACACGACACGGUGAUGUGGAAGCAAGUUUCUUUAUUGAAGUUCCAUGGCUGGCCGGCGCGCUCUUGAUCUUACACGCGCCUCUUAUACCCUUGAUUAACACACGCGUCUCCGCAUGAUUGGAUUAGCUUAUACAGAAACAAUCUGUGAAUGGGUGGUACUACUUUCAUACAUGGUCCUAUAUUGUCUGCCCACUUCCCAUCCCAUGAGCUCCUUCUGGGCGCAUUAAGCAGGGGUCCUCAGCCCGCUGUGGACCCCCACAUAUGUAGGAUCUCUUCUGAAACAAACUUGGGACCCCUCUGGGCUGGCCCUGCAGCUCUGUGCUGUGUUUUCUCUGUACGCUGACCCUUUGCUGUGGUGGUGGUGAUGCAUAGCACUGCUUUUAGUGCUGGAAGGAAGGGAGAGUUUAUGGUUGUAGGCAAGGGGUGGAGCUGGCUGCACAGAGGGUUUGCUUAGAGGUGAGGGAAAUGUCAGUCAGAAGAGCAAUUUGAAUAUCCAUUUCAGCCCAAGUCAUUCAUGGCUGUCAGACUCAAAUGGCUGUUCAGCUCUUUCACCAGAAUGUGUGGAUGCUUUUUUGCCCCAAUCAAUUCUUUGCCCCUUUGAAUUCCUGCUCACAGAGUCCAGCCUCUAGGGAUUUUUUUUUAGGAGACGGAAUAUCAUUUCAGUUCUGCCUUUGUCAAAUUUUGUGGGCUUGCUGCUCUGUGUUUCUGUUUUCUUUUCAAAGUAAGCCUGCCCUUUGAAACUGCAGGGAGACCAACUCCAGCAAGGCUGGCUGCCAUGAGGAUGCUCUCAGAGGUACAUCUAGGAGACUUUGCUCCUUCAUAUUCAGAUACCGAAGUCCUCUUGUUCAUUAUUUGUAUGAAUAAUUAUAUUAUUUUUUGAGUGGUGUAGAAAAUGUAAUCAAAAUUGAGAAUAGUCUUAGACCAUGCAUAGGUACCAGCUUUGACAGUGCUGACCAGUGUAGGCCCAUCGUUUCACAAUGAACCGCUCCUGCCCUCCUGGUUAAAGGAAAAAAAAGCUGGGGAUUAGGUUUUUAUAAAGAACUGUAAUUAAGCAAUCA